UCUCCAGAAAGAAAAACAAAACUCCUCUGUUCAUCUAUCUCUCUCGCGCUCUCUCAUAUUCUCAGCAACAAAACCUCGCCUUUUCGCUCUCGAUCUCUCAACCUCGCAAUCGAUUAAGCAUCACCUAUCUAAAUAAAAGCAAGCAAAACCCUAAACCCAAUCGAUCCCUUUCCUCAAUCCAAUAAGUUUCGAUGAUCUCAAGUACAAGUCAUGAAUAAUCAAAGCAAACAGAAAUCACAGAAACAACAAUGGAUACAAGUACAUCAAACAAAUUCAAAUCGAAAUCAAAAGUAAUAAAAGAGAAUAGGUACGAUACUCUUUUUCGAUGCUUCAGACGUUGCGGAACUUCUCUUCUUCGUAUUCCGUUUUCAACUCUGAAUUCACGUCAUAAACAUCUUUGUGUUGUAGUUACUCGUUGCGAAUCGUUGAAGCUUGAAGCGAGUUUGAGUUGCUGCAGGUUGAUUGUGUAUGUUGAAGAAACUGUGAAGAUGGAAGCAGGGGAUCGGCUAUUGUUUUGGUUUGCAGAUGAAGGUUAGUGUGGGUUGAAAGGUGAGGUCUUAUGUGGUUCUGUGUAUGAUGGGUGUGAGUUGUUGAGUGAGAGAUGAGAGUUGGUGGUAGGUUGCAGUGAGCAUACGAUUCUGAGUUUGAGCAGUUGUUGUGGUUAUGGGUCAAGUAUGCAGAAAUGGUGAAUGAGAAAUCGUGAGGUAUUGGGUUUGUGAAGGAUUUGUGUGAAGAAUGAGGUUUGGCUUUGAUCAUUUUGGUGCAAGAUUUGGAGUUUUUGAAGCAGAUUGGGGCAGCAGCAUAGCAGGUUUGUUGGACCGUUUUGCUUGGCAUAGUGGAGCAGCAAGAAUGCAGAGUUUUGGACUGUAAUGGCAUGGCAUGGACAGCAGCGAUUUUGGACUGUUGUAGCAGGCUUAGAAACGUGAAAGACAACAACCAUAUACCUCUUUUUUUGUUUUUGUUUGACUUGUACCAAAAAGAAAGAAAAAUGGGCUUAUAACAAAAUGGUCAAUGGGCCUCAUUUUCAAAUA